GCCUGGGUGGCUCAGUCGGUUGAGUGUCCGACUUCGGCUCAGGUCAUGAUCUCACAGUCCGUGGGUUCGAGCCCCGCGUCGGGCU
rnacentral:tRNA from 1 species